GACGAACGCUGGCGGCGUGCUUAACACAUGCAAGUCGAGCGAGGCCCCUCCUUCGGGAGGGUGUCCUAGCGGCGAACGGGUGAGUAACACGUGGGCAACCUGCCCUCAGCUCUGGGAUAACUCCGGGAAACCGGGGCUAAUACCGGAUACGACCUCCACGGGCAUCUGCGGAGGUGGAAAGUUUUUCGGCUGAGGAUGGGCCGGCGGCCUAUCAGCUAGUUGGUGGGGUAGUGGCCCACCAAGGGGACGACGGGUAGCCGGCCUGAGAGGGCGACCAGCCACACUGGAAAGGAGAGACGGGCGAGAGUGCGAAGGGAGGCAGCAGUGGGGAAUAGGGGACAAGGGGGGCGAGCGUGAGCGAGCAAGACCGCGUGGGUGAAGAAGGCCUUCGGGUUGUAAAGCCAUUUUGUUGGGAAAGAAAAGAAGAAGGUUAAUACAACGCUGGUAUGACGGUACCCAAAGAAGAAGCAACGGCUAACUUCGUG
rnacentral:rRNA from 1 species